rnacentral:rRNA from 1 species
AUUGAACGCUGGCGGCAUGCUUUACACAUGCAAGUCGAACGGUAGAGGGGGCAACCCCUUGAGAGUGGCGAACGGGUGAGUAAUGCAUCGGAACGUGCCCAGUCGUGGGGGAUAACGCAGCGAAAGCUGUGCUAAUACCGCAUACGAUCUCUGGAUGAAAGCGGGGGACCGAAAGGCCUCGCGCGAUCGGAGCGGCCGAUGUCAGAUUAGGUAGUUGGUGGGGUAAAGGCUCACCAAGCCAACGAUCUGUAGCUGGUCUGAGAGGACGACCAGCAAAACUGGGACUGAGACACGGCCCAGACUCCUACGGGAGGCAGCAGUGGGGAAUUUUGGACAAUGGGCGCAAGCCUGAUCCAGCAAUGCCGCGUGCAGGAAGAAGGCCUUCGGGUUGUAAACUGCUUUUGUACGGAACGAAAAGGUCUGGGUUAAUACCCUGGGCACAUGACGGUACCGUAAGAAUAAGCACCGGCUAACUACGUGCCAGCAGCCGCCGUAA